rnacentral:misc_RNA from 1 species
CUGUUCGAGCGUCAUUUACACCCUCAAGCCCAGCUUGGUACUGGAGGCCGCCCCCGGGCGCCUCUGAAAUACAGCGGCGGCGUAGCCGGCUCCCUGGCGUAGUGACUUACUGUCGCCCCGGGGCCGGUCGUUCGUUUGCCGGACAACGCCCAAUUUCUGAAAUCGACCUCGGAUCAGGUAGGACUACCCGCUGAACUUAA